UACGUAGGGGGCUAGCGUUGUCCGGAAUCAUUGGGCGUAAAGAGCGCGUAGGCGGCUGGAAUAGUCCGGUGUGAAAUCCACAGGCUUAACCUGUGAAUGCCGCUGGAAACUGUCUGGCUAGAGUCCGGAAGGGGCGAGUGGAAUUCCUGGUGUAGCGGUGAAAUGCGCAGAUAUCAGGAGGAACACCAAUGGCGAAGGCAGCUCGCUGGGACGGUACUGACGCUGAGGCGCGAAAGCUAGGGGAGCGAACGGG
rnacentral:rRNA from 1 species